AGACUCCGCUUCUGAUGGGAGACAAGAUGAUUGCUGCUAUUAAGCCUUAAUGCAACAUCACUGUCUGAGGUGAAAGUUCCAUUAAAACGAGGUUGGAGCUGGGGUUGAGCACCCAUGUCAUCCAAGUUUAGGUUCAGGGCCUGCACUACUCUUGCUGGUAGCAGAACUGUAGAACAAGCUGACUUCUUGCGAGUUUCAGCAGUGGUACUAGCUCGGCGAGGUAAGAACACCCCAGUGCCAGCACAUUCCCUUUUGCCCCCAGGAUUGCCGAGGAACACAGCCCGCAUGCCAGACCCGCCUUGGUGGUGUUGCAGAGGAGGCCAAGCAGACGGAGGCAAACCCAAAGGUCUACCAGGAUUUCUGGCUCCGUUGUGGACCACUGACUGGGUUUGUUGCUUUUGGAAAAAUCCAGCACCCUUAGGCUGCCCUCCCCAAAGCCCAGAGCUCUGUUGUUUCAUCAGUUGCUGCUGUCUCAGCUGCUGAAAUUGAGCUGCUUGCAAUUUCUGGUAAGUAAGAGACGGCAUCGGGUAGAGACCCGCAUCAGGUUUUGAGUUUUUCACGGGUACAGAGACAGGAGAGGGUUUUCGUGGUGGACCCAAGAUUCCACUGUUGUGGCCGUUAAGGCCGUACCCUUCUUGAUUAAUUCUCAUCCUCGCUACUUCGCCAGCAGCCGCAUACAGCAGAUCCCAUGUGGCCGGCGUUGAGGAGCCCCUGGAGAAAUCAUUUGGACGGCCACGGCAUGACGCUUGCCUACACCCACAACCACUUCCAAGCCCACAUAGCGUUGAUUGUGGUGAACCUGAUACCACCCAGGCCUUGGUUUUUUCAUUCCCAAAAGUCACAUCGUUUCCCCUAAAAUCGUCUUCAAGCGUGGAGCGAGCCAUUUGGCAAGUUAAGCCAGCGAUGUAGUCUUCCUCGUCACUCUCUUCGGUAGAACCGACCACCGACUCAACCGGAGAACUGAGAUCCGAAGACACCCCGAAGGACCCAACCCCAUAAGGAAAAUCAAGUGGGAAGAAAGGCUUGGAAUAGUCAGUUUCAGAGGAAAACACAUCUUUAGCGUUCUUGAGGCUACAUUUGUUGGUGGUAGUAAUCUUCUUAUCCAUGAAAAUAUCGUCGUCAGUGAGGAACUGAGGAGGCAACCAGAACUCGCCGUCGUCUAAACUAUCUGCCAUAUUUAAACUCUAGCAAUGACAGAGAGAGGGCAACAAAAGGAUAGACGAGGGAGAGGAUGGAGUAAAUGAGAGUUUGCUGCUCGGCUAAGAUAUAAUGAUAGCAACCCCAGUUGGAUUUUUGCUGGAUUUGCAGCUUUAGGGUCCCAGAGAACGCUAUGAAAGAAAAAAGAGAGAGAUAUUUAUAAAGAGAAAGCAGUGCUUAUUAACCAGAAAAGCCUCAAGCCUCAGGGGCCCUUCCCUUUCUAUAGAGAGCAAAAGCACGGAAUUAAGCGAAAGAAGGGAGAAGAGAGUGCGAUUAGAGCCUGCGCCAUGUAUACUUGUAGUAGCCUAGUAGGGC
rnacentral:misc_RNA from 1 species